rnacentral:rRNA from 1 species
CAGACCUCUAAUCGGAAAAGACUACCCGCUGAGUUUAAGCAUAUCAAUAGGCCGGGAAGGAA